rnacentral:lncRNA from 1 species
GAAACCUACUCCCUCCAACUGUAUUAUGUACUCUGCAGUGAUAAGGCCAUUACAUUAUGCGGUACCUUUAGUGUUUGUUGCCUGGAAAAAUCCAAGUCCAUCCAAAGUGUUACGCAGACAUGGGCUUUCUUGAAGUACAAAGAUUGAGACUAAGCUAGAAAGCAAGAAGUGCUCUCAGAAAACUGCUUUUGCUGGCUAUUUCUUUUCCCUAGCCUGAGCACAUGGAAGGGUUAUUCCCGAGGGAAUGGGAGAGCAGUUUCUUUGAAGAAACCGAAGAAGUAUCCUGCCCAACUUUGAACACUAGAGGACUUUUGCCCUGCGAAUGCUUUAAUUUCUGAGGGACUAGUGAGAUAGAUCCUGCCUAAAGGACCUGACACUAGGAUAAAUGGGCAGAAGCUUGAUUUUAGGUGUGGUUCUUCAGAGGCAAAAAGGAAACCUGAGGUAGAGAGAUUCUGUGCCUCUUUGCAAAAACUGAAGGCUGGAAGUUGCUUGCUGAGGGCGUUCCUUAAAGCCAAGUCUUUUAGUGCAGAUGGACGAGGGCAAGCGUCACAAUAUCUACAGCAGCAUGCAAUGUGACCUGAGAAAGAGAACGCCGUCACUGUAACCUCUUAGAGGAAUGUAACCUUGCUCAGAUUCCCUCUUACUCUCAAUUAACUGUCAAGCAUAAUUAAGUGUAAAGGUCUAUUGCUAGGAAGAACAAGGCCACUCCUGUCUCACUCCCUCUCAACAUCACUGAUGGAAGCAAUAAAAGGCAAACCAGCAGGAGCUGAAGCCCAGCCUUAAGGUGUCCGGCAAUUCAGAAAACAUUACAGUGUUAUCAAUGGACAAUAUACAUGCUACUGAGUGAGUGUCGACUCCUGGACAGAGGUGAAUGUUGAUUUUGUUUUGUUUUUAAAUUCAGAAUUAUUUAGGGAAGAUAACGUGUGACAGAAAAUGGGACAUCCUGAAGCCGGCAGAUAUAGAUUGAGCAACAAAGAUUUGAGCCUCAUGGAUAGGCGACUUUGCAAUAUAUUUAUUUAUAUAUUUAUACCAUAAGUUAUCCAUAUGUGAGUGAGACUAACUGUAUUGUAAAUCAUUUGAGUGUAUACCUUGGUUCCAUGUACAGAAGGAUGUUACAUGCCUGUGUAGCAUGUUUGUCAAGAGGAAGAAUAUAAUACAGAUACUAGUGUAAACACGUGUCUUAGAAUAGACUCAUGAAAUAAGAAUGUUUUUAACGCCUUGGUCAAAUUUAACAAAAACAAAUAUUAAAAUGUUGAAAG